rnacentral:lncRNA from 1 species
UUACAGUUGGAUCAGCCAUGAUGCCUUUAUCCAAAGAGCGCAAGGACAGGAAUUCGUAGAAGUACUCAGCCCGUCCCGUAGCUUGCCAGCUGAAGUUCAUGGCGUGGAUGCCGACGGGGAUGGCCGGCAUCCUCUGCUGAGCUUUCCUGAAGUCGUGAGUGAACGGGGCCAUCUUCCCCUCGGACACGAUCAGGAUGUCCUCCUCGAAGCCGAUGAGGACUCGGGCUUGCUGCGCGUCGAUCCACAGGUACAGCGUGUCGGGCUGCCGCGCCGCUGCCCGCACCCCGCACAGACUGAGCGCCCCGCACAGCAGCGCCGCACACAGCCGCCCCGCCGCGGCCAUACUCCGCGCCCGCCGCUGCCGCCCCGCUCCCGGCCCCGGCCCGCGCCGCUCCGCC